rnacentral:tRNA from 9 species
GUUGGUUAGAAUACCUGCCUGUCACGCAGGGGGUCGCGGGUUCGAGCCCCGUCCGUUCCGCCA